GGGGCUUGGGCAUUUGCCUUGACCAGCAAGCCCCCAGAAGCAGCAGAUUUGGAUUUUAUUCCACUUAAACUAGCAGGUCCACUGCCAAUCUUGAUGGACUUGGCAACUGCAGAUGAAGAGGGAACUGGAAAGAACGACGAAGUAGCAGCAGUAGCAACCAUACUGUAACUGAAGAUUGGAUGAACCAGCAGUCGUCCGACAGCUAUUUGAUAAGAAUUUGACAAGAAGGACGAGCAAGUUUCAGAAUCUUAUU
rnacentral:misc_RNA from 1 species